ensembl:misc_RNA Metazoa_SRP Metazoan signal recognition particle RNA
GCCGGGUGCGGUGGCAUGUGCCUGUAAUCCAAGUCACUGGGAGGCUGAGGUUGGUGGAUCAAGUGAGCUGAGGAGCUCUGGGCUGCAGCACACUAUGUGGAACGGGUGUCCACGCUAAGUUCGGUAUCGAUAUAGUGUUCCUGGGGGAGCCCGGGACCACCAGGUUGUCUAAGGAGGGGUGAACCGGCCCAGGUCGGAAACGAAGCAGGUCAAAUCCCCCGUGCUGUCCAGUAGUGGGAUAAUACCUGUGAGUAGAUGCUGCAGUGCAGCCUUGGCGAAACAUCGAGACCUAAUCUUUC